rnacentral:snRNA from 1 species
AGUCAGAGAUGUUAAAUAUGCCUCA